rnacentral:rRNA from 1 species
AUGCGUAGGCGACUUCUCAAGUCUUCUGUAAAAUCCUGUGGCUUAACCAUAGGCUUGCGGAAGAGACUGAGUUGAUUGAGGUAUUCAGAGGAAAGGGGAAUUCCUGGUGGAGCGGUGGAAUGCGUUGAUAUCAGGAGGAACACCGAUGGCGAAGGCACCUUUCUGGGAAUCACCUGACGCUAAGGCUCGAAAGCUAGGGUAGCAAAAC